rnacentral:rRNA from 1 species
GACGAACGCUGGCGGCGUGCCUAAUACAUGCAAGUCGAGCGGACCAAACAGGAGCUUGCUCUUGUUUGGUUAGCGGCGGACGGGUGAGUAACACGUGGGUAACCUGCCCGUAAGACCGGGAUAACUCCGGGAAACCGGAGCUAAUACCGGAUAACACCGAAGACCGCAUGGUCUUUGGUUGAAAGGCGGCUUCGGCUGCCACUUACGGAUGGGCCCGCGGCGCAUUAGCUAGUUGGUGAGGUAACGGCUCACCAAGGCGACGAUGCGUAGCCGGCCUGAGAGGGUGACCGGCCCAACUGGGACUGGGACACGGCCCAGACCCCUACGGGAGGGAGCAGGAGGGGAUCUUCCGAAAUGGACGAAAGGCUGACGGAGCGACGCCGGGUGAGCGAAGAAGGGCUUCGGAUCGUAAAGCUCUGUUGUUAGGGAAGAAGAAGCGCCGUUCGAACAGGGCGGCGCGGUGACGGUACCUAACGAGAAAGCCCCGGCUAACUACGUG